rnacentral:rRNA from 1 species
CGUCCAUGCUGAGGCCAGGUGUGCUAACCAUCUGAUUGCAGGCAUCCUUUAGGGGGUGUGUGUGGGAGGGUGGGGUCCCGUCUGGUAGUAGGCAAGCGAU